rnacentral:rRNA from 1 species
GGGCUACUCGCUGGCGGCAUGCCUAUACAUGCAGUCGAGCGGCUGAUUGGAGCUUGCUCCCUGAUUCGGCGGCGGACGGGUGAGUACUGCCCAGGAAUCUGCCUGGCCCUGGGGACAGCGUUUCCAAAGGAACGCUGAUACCGCAUACGUCCUUCGGGAGAAAGUGGGGGAUCUUCGGACCUCACGCUAUCAGAUGAGCCUAUGUCGGAUUAGCUAGUUGGUGAGGUAAAGGCUCACCAAGGACACGAUCCCUAACUGGUCUGAGAGGAUGAUCCGUCACCCUGGAACUGACACACGGCCCAGACUCCUACGGGAGGCAGCAGUGGGGAAUUUUGGACAAUGGGCGAAAGCCUGAUCCCCCCAUGCCGCGUGUGUGAAGAAGGUCUUCGGAUUGUAAAGCACUUUAAUUUGGAAGGAAGGGCUGAAAUUUAAUACCUUGCUGUGUUAACGUUACCAAAAAAUAAGCACCGGCUAUCUUCGUGCGCGCCGCCGCGGUAUA